GAAAAUCAUAGAGGUUGCCAUAGACAUGAGUCGCACGUGGAGUAUUGAUAGAUACAAUGAAACGUGUCAAAGGGAAUAUGGCCGAAGCGCUGAUACUAUCAUAUCAGUUAGCUGGGGUACUAGUUAAUAGCUAUUACACUGUCGCAUAUGCGGGGUGCUAUGACGGAA
rfam:Leuconostoc citreum KM20, complete genome.